UUGACUGAUUCAUCAUCAAGCACAUAAACGCUCUGGUGGUGGAGUCCAUAUGUAACACACAUUUUCAAAACUGAUGUUUGAGGAGUGUCUGGCUUCUCAAAAAUGCUAAUUCUCAUGUUAUAGGACUACAAAUUGAGAGCUUUUCAUAAUUGUAAUCGUUAACCCUGGGUUAUUCUAAACCCUGGCUAUAUGGAAUACUGGGUUAUCUUGUUUGACGCUUCACACUGUUCAUACUUUAGAUGGGGUUAAAGGUUUAGUUCACCCAAAAAUGAAAUUUCUGUCAUUAAGUACUCACCCUUAUGUCGUCCCAAACCUGUAAGACCUUCGUUCAUCUUCGGAACACAAAUUUAAGAUAUGAAGAAAUUCGAGGAUUUCUAAACCACACAUAGACAGCAAUGUCAUUGCAGUCAACCGACACUAUACACAUGCGCAGCACGACGCAUGCGUGUGAUGCUGAGGCAGGAGUCGGCCAAUGAGUCGGAAGCCUGCACUGCCUUCACUACAAAUUAUAAAAAUUGUUAAAGUCAUUUUUGUUCUGUUUUUGUGCACAAAAUGUAUUCUCGUCAUUUCAUAACAUUAAGGUUGAACCACUGUAGUCACGUUGGCUAUUGUAACAAUGUCUUUAAUGUCUUUCUGGACCUCAAAAGGUCCAAUGACGUUGCUGCCUAUGUGUGGUUCAGAAACCCUCGGAUUUCAUCAAAAAUAUCUUAAUUUGUGUUCCGAAGAUGAACGAAGGUCUUACGGGUUUGGGAUGACAUGAGGGUGAGAACCUAAUGACAAAUUUCAUUUCAAUUAACCCUUUAACAGUUAAUUGCAUAUUGUUGUCAGAGUCUCUAGCAUUGCACAUGCGCCAUUUAUACUAGGUCUGGCUAUAUUGCUAUUUUUAGGACUAUAACUCCUUUACCCGGGGUUAAGCGCAAUGUGAAAAGCCCUUCUGUGUUGCCCCUUUAACAAAUGAUUUCAAACCUCAACAUAAAUCCCUGUGAAGUCUCAAAAGUCCAUAGUUUUCCACCCAUCUUAAAUACUCUAUCAAACAUGUCGACGUCCAUCUUUUGGAAAGCGUGAGAGGUUUCGUUGGGGUUCUGCUGCAGCAUCUGGUGGGAAGCCGAAGGGCCGUGGCUGACCGGGCAGAGGGGCUCUCGCGGGGCCAGUGGGCAUCUGCCUCGACCCGCUACACUUCACCCUCCAGCAUCAUAUAUUCAUGCGCUGCUCCCCCCGCACCAUCUGUGUCCACGCUCACCAGCGGUUCGCACACGAGCUCUGGUGACACACAGGACGGGCAGAGCAGGGGUAGGGCAUGGCCACGGUAGCACAGACUGCGGAGCGCUAGGCUGUGCCAACACGUAUGAAAGAGAAAGACAGGAGCACAGCUGUCUUCCUGUCACUACAUUCGCUUGGAUAUAAAAUUAGAGUUGUGAGCAUGUGUUCGGUACACUAGUUUAUAAGUUUCUUGAUCCACCUCAACACGCUCCUUGUGCUUUUUUCAGUUGCACUACAUGUACUCAGCCACAAGAUGGUAUGACUGACUCACAUUUUUACCAGGUUCUUCCUGUUUAGUUAGCAGUCCAAAGCCACGCACUUCGAUAAUUGGAGUUUUGCUUUGCAAUAAUGCAAAACAGCGUGGUAGUCUUGGUUUUCUGCGUGUGACCCACUGCUUUUACGAUCUCUGACCAGAACUCGCUUUCCUCCGUCGCGUGCCCCAUUCGAGCAGCUGAGACCCAGCGGCUCGCUGGCAGGUGUUGGUCCUCCUGUCGGCCGCAGCUAAGGGAACUUCACUGGGCCUUUGUGCCCGCUUCAGCCUGGCUCUGCCGUCCCGCUGGCAGAUGGCAUCAAGCUGCGGGCGCCUCUCCCAACUAUAAUUACCAGCUUCAGCUACAGAUGGAGACAAGCAGGCGCGAUGGUCCCUGUAUCCUCUGUGGCCUUCACCAACCUCCGCAGUCUGCCCUGAAAAGCCUAAACAGGCCUGCUGCUAGGACAAACCACCACACACUUCACCAACUGCUAAAGUGUCUGUGAGCUUCCUGCAGAUUAAAUACUGUGUAGAUGUUCCAUCGGUAGUGUAAUAUCAGAUACGCACUAUUUGCUUAGUAUUGGGUUGAUUUAUUGAUUGAUUGAUUGAUUGAUUGAUCCCACAUGAAAAAUACUAAUAGUAAAUACUAUAGUGUUUUUGAACCAUACUAUAGUAAAGAACUUGAAUUAAUUUGUUGUCGUAAUUCUAUAGUUGCUGUGUUAAUAUAACAACUACAGUAAUAUAAACUAUUUUACCCAAUACUGUACUAAGUUUUCUACAACUAUAUAUAUUAUACUACAAUACACUACAGUUUACUGUAGUAAAAACUAAAGUAUACUACAGUAUUUAUUAGUUUAUCUGUUCACUAUAGUUAAUAUUACAGUAUGUUGUAGCAUUCAAUAACAAAGUUUUGUAAAUACUAUAAUAUAUACAGCAUACUACACUUUACUAUAGUAUGGUUCAAAAACACUAUAGUAUUUUUUCAUGUCGAUACUGUUUUGCAUUUGUGCACUUUUUUUUGGACCAGAUUUGUUGCCACAUGUCUAAAAUACAAAACUCAAGUUUAACAGUGUUUAUCUUGAAGUAUUAACUGUCAGAAAUCUAUCGUUUUAUUAUUUUCUUAGGUACAAGCUGAACUGAUCUAUUUGAAACAGGGUAUGACAAUGUAGUAUGACUAAAUUUUGUUUUGCUUUUGUAUUACUCUACAGUCAGCUGAACUUCAAGAAAGUUUCUUUCUCUUCAGUCAGUUAUUGUUAACUAAAACAAAAACUAUUAAAUAUAUUUGUUAAUUAAAAAGCUGAAAUAAAAUAAAAUGUUAGUAUUAGAUUAAACUUGUUUCAGGUAGUUCAGUUAGGCAAAAUUUUUAAAAAAGUUUUUUAAGUGUAAGUUGAAGUACUAAAUUUACUAAAGCCAAGGUGGAAAUUAAAAUAACGCUAUUUAGAAAUAAACUAAAAAUGGCAAUAGCACAUAAAAUGACUCAAACUAAAAUUAAAAUGAAAGCUGAAAAUAUAAAAAUAAAAGGUAAUUCAAAAUAUUGAUACAUAAUAAUAUAAAAAUAAUACUAAAGUAACACUGUCAUCACACUUCUUCCCUUCUUUUUAGACCUUUUGUCUCCACCAGAGAAAGGUUACCAUUUUUCAGACAUCCUAAAAUGUCUGAGUUCUUUUUCCUCCAAGCUAAGCAUUCCACCACUUCAUCUACUUCCAGUCUCUGUUGAAGGUCAUGCAGUCAUUGGCUCCUGGUGCACAGAAAGCAUGAGAUCUGUCCUUGAUGACCAAAUGACCUUCACUGAUCACACUGCAACAACUGCCCUGUCCUGCUGCUUCAUCCAGCACAAGCCAGAAUCAAAUUCAAGACCGUUUCUGAUCUAUGAUGGAGCCAAUGAAAAGGCACCCAUGGUUAUAUACAAGCUAUGUACCAACCAUACACCCCCCAGCUGGGCAACAGCAAUCAGCUAAAUCUGAGUACACAGAAAAGAAGGAAGUAUUCUUGGAACUGACAGAAGAAACAAAACCCACAGAUAAGAGCCACAUACAUGCUGAAACGUGCAGUUUCUUUGACAUCCACCGUGGCUGUGCUAAAUCUCAGGAAUGUGAGAGACAGUCUGUGGACGAUAAGCAGACAGAAGAUUAUGAGGUCUGAGGGAGGAAAAGAGAGGACAGAGUCUGUUUUCAAGACCCCUGAGCAAACAGAGAAGU